GGGAGUACGGCCGCAAGGUUGAAACUCAAAGGAAUUGACGGGGGCCCGCACAAGCGGAGGAACAUGUGGUUUAAUUCGAUGAUACGCGAGGAACCUUACCUGGGCUUAAAUGUAGAGUGCAUUUUCUAGAGAUAGGAAUUCCCUUCGGGGCUUUCUGCAAGGUGCUGCAUGGUUGUCGUCAGCUCGUGCCGUGAGGUGUCGGGUUAAGUCCCAUAACGAGCGCAACCCUUAUCGUUAGUUGCCAUCUGGUAAAGCAGGGGACUCUAGCGAAACUGCCACCGUAAGGUGAGAGGAAGGUGGGGAUGACGUCAAAUCAGCACGGCCCUUAUGUCCAGGGCUACACACGUGUUACAAUGGUCGGUACAGAGGGCAGCUACCUGGUGACAGGAUGCUAAUCUCGAAAACCGGUCUCAGUUCGGAUCGAAGUCUGCAACUCGACUUCGUGAAGCUGGAUUCGCUAGUAAUCGCGCAUCAGCCAUGGCGCGGUGAAUACGUUCCCGGGCCUUGUACACACCGCCCGUCAAGCCAUGGAAGCUGGGGGUGCCUGAAGUCCGUAACCGAAAGGAGCGGCCUAGGGUAAAACUAGUGACUGGGGCUAAGUCGUAACAAGGUAUCC
rnacentral:rRNA from 1 species